rnacentral:snRNA from 1 species
AUUGUUUCUCGGCCUUUUGGCUAAGAUCAAGUGUAGUAUCAGACUUGAACUCAAUGAGCCGCCCGAAAACUAGUGGUAUAAGAGUACAGUGGAAAGAGUAAGGAUUUCCAGAUUCAUUCUAAGCUUAACUUGUUCGGGCAAGUUAUGUAGCUUUC